rnacentral:lncRNA from 1 species
CCGGGCUGCUCGCCCCGCCCCCGCGCGGCGCUGGGAGGCGGGAGCUGUCUCUGAGAACCUGCGGGAGAGCGCCCGGGCUUGCUGCUUCCCGGACCCGCGCGUCUCUCGAGCACCCUCGUCCCACCACCUUGUGAGGCCGUAGUGUUAUUUUUAUUUUUUAGAUCAGCAGACUGAGACUCGAGGUGACGUCACUCCGCAGAGAGGUUAGCUGACUUGAAGAAAACGGGUAUCUCCUCUUUCCAUUUCGCCCGUGUAAACAGCCGAACUGCCUAUUAUAAAAGCAUGGACUGCCAGCAUUGGAGUGGUCCUUAGAGGCCUAUUAUGAAAUCAUAGAAUGUCUGCAUUGGAAUCGCCUCACCUCCUUUUACCGCUGGAGAAGCCGACGGACAGACGGGCAGCGACCCCCGCCGUCGCACAACCCGUCUAGGCAGAGAGCGCAGGAGACGGGAGGGCGGCAGGGACACAUCUCCCAGCCAAGGACCUCCUGGGCCCGCAGAGGCCGCGACAGGUUCCCCCCACAGAGGGAACCAACUCUGCCGCAGGUUGAUGUGGACUUCAAGCCUGCAGAACGGAGAGCCCAUUUCCAUUGCUUAAAGCCACCUCGUGUGUGGUUAGAGCACAGCAGACUGAGCCACCCAGAACUGGCCCCUCCGGUGGACCAGCCCCUGCGGAUUCACAGACCACUGGUCCUGGAAGGGACCUUGUCAAGCAGGCCCAUAAGGUAAUCCCUCCCCGGAAAGAGAAGAUCACAGAUUUUGUCAUAUUAAAUACAUUGUAGAAAUUCAUGGUAGCAGGGGCAAGAUCAUUUAAACAAAACAGAAAGUUUCAGAGAGAGAAAAAGCCAAGGACAAAGAUUAAUCAUUUUUCUGCUUAAAAAAAAUGGCUUUGAUUUGCAACCAUGGAAUGCUCCACUGUUUCUCUUCUCUUCAAAGACAUCUACUGAAAGGAUUCCUUAACCUUACCAAGUGGCCAAAAUACUUUUCUGAGAAGAGUCACAGAGCAUAGGCCCCCCUAGGGUACACAGAGAUUUCAUUAGUCCCUAGAUGUUUCCUGAUCCUUUUAAAAACUGGUUAAAUUCAGAGACUCUAGGCAAUUACUUCUUUCAGAACCUGUGAGGCAAAAACGAAAGAAGAAGGCAGGACACGCAGUGUAACAAACCUUGGAAUGGACUUCGCCAGACUUCAUCAGAAGAAAGCAGUGCAAGAGGGGACUGCAGAGGAAAGCUGGGGCUUGGGAAACCAGCAGCAGGGGCCACGUGGGCAGGUGGUUUCUGUGUGAACCUCUGAUCUGUGCAACAUAAACAGGAAAUGUUGAAGGCUUCCAGUGCUCUUUUUUGAUGUCGAGAACAUUCUACGGCACAAAAGAGUUUGCCUCUCACUGUUUCUCAUAUAUGGAGGUUUUCUAAUCAGCAUCCUGAACAGAAUUGAAUUAAAAAUAAAAACCAAAGUAAAACUAGCUUUAUCUCUAGAUUUUAAAAUUUUCAUUUUUUUUAGGGUGGCACCUAUACUGUUACCUUGUAGGUACCAACUAGAAUAUUCUUUCUAACUGCCUGUCAUUCAUGGUUUACCUACUUGGAAGCUUAACCCUGUCCAAGACUGGACCCUAGUCAACACAAAUUUUAUCUUAAUUUUAUGAAGGUCUUUCCCACCCCUAAUAUUCUGGCAUUCUUAAAUAUGC